rnacentral:rRNA from 1 species
GUAGGGUGCGAGCGUUAAUCGGAAUUACUGGGCGUAAAGCGUGCGCAGGCGGUUUUGUAAGCCAGAUGUGAAAUCCCCGGGCUUAACCUGGGAAUGGCAUUUGGGACUGCAAGGCUGGAGUACGGCAGAGGAGACUGGAAUUCCUGGUGUAGCAGUGAAAUGCGUAGAGAUCAGGAGGAAUACCGAUGGCGAAGGCAGGUCUCUGGGCUGAUACUGACGCUCAUGCACGAAAGCGUGGGGAGCAAACAGGAUUAGAUACCCUGGUAGUCCACGCCCUAAACGAUGUCGACUGGUUGUUGGGGGUUUGACACUCUCAGUAACGAAGCUAACGCGUGAAGUCGACCGCCUGGGGAGUACGGCCGCAA